rnacentral:rRNA from 1 species
UAGAGUAAUGCGUGACCAACCUGCCCCAUGCUCCAGAAUAGCUCUUGGAAACGGGUGGUAAUGCUGGAUGCUCCAACUUGACGCAUGUCUUGUUGGGAAAGUGUUUAGUGGCAUGGGAUGGGGUCGCGUCCUAUCAGCUUGUAGGCGGGGUAAUGGCCCACCUAGGCUUCGACGGGUAGCCGGCCUGAGAGGGCGGACGGCCACAUUGGGACUGAGAUACGGCCCAGACUCCUACGGGAGGCAGCAGUG